GGGAAUCUUGCGCUAAUGCGGGAAACCGUGACGCAGCGACGCCGCGUGAGGGAAGAAGGCCUUCGGGUUGUAAACCUCUUUCAGGAGGGACGAAGCCACUCGGGUUAAUAGCCCAGAGGGUGACGGUACCUCCAGAAGAAGCCCCGGCUAACUACGUGCCAGCAGCCGCGGUAAUACAGAGGGGGCAAGCGUUGUUCGGAAUUACUGGGCGUAAAGGGCGCGUAGGCGGCCUGCUAAGUCGAACGUGAAAUCCCCGGGCUCAACCCGGGAACUGCGUCCGAUACUGGCAGGCUUGAAUCCGGGAGAGGGAUGCGGAAUUCCAGGUGUAGCGGUGAAAUGCGUAGAUAUCUGGAGGAACACCGGUGGCGAAGGCGGCAUCCUGGACCGGCAUUGACGCUGAGGCGCGAAAGCCAGGGGAGCAAAC
rnacentral:rRNA from 1 species